rnacentral:rRNA from 1 species
AGUGAACGCUGGCGGUAGGCCUAACACAUGCAAGUCGAACGGCGGCACAGUAAGAGCGUUCUCUUACGGGUGGCGAGUAGCGGAUGGGUGAGGAGUACGCCGUAAGCUACGUAUUCGUGGGUGAGAGCGGAGGAAAACUUACGCUAAUACCUCAGACGAGCUACGGGUGAAAGCAGGCGAUCUUCGGACCUCGCGCGAGUGAAUGAUCCGAUGUCGGAUGAGUUAGUUGGCGGUGUAAAGGCCCACCAAGGCGACGAUCGGUAGCUGGUCUGAGAGGAUGAUCACCGGCACUGGAGCUGAGACACGGACCAGAGUACUAAGAGAGGGAGCAGUGGGGAAUAUUGGACAAUGGGCGGGAACCUGAUACAGCGAUAGCGAGUGGGUGGAGAAGGCCUUGGGGUUGUAAAGACGUUUUGUUGGGAAAGAAACGCAGCAGGUUAAUAAGAAGCUGUUCUGACGGUACCCGAAGAAUAAGCACCGGCUAACUUCGUG